GUGAUUCUGCUGCCAUUUUGAGCCCUGAGGUGAUUUGGCCGCAUUUUCUGAGGUGAUUCUGGCGCCAUUUUGAGCCCUGAGGUGAUUUGGCCGCAUUUUCUGAGGUGAUUCAGGCGCCAUUUUGAGCCCUGAGGUGAUUCUGGCGCCAUUUUCUGAGGUGAUUCUGGUGCCAUUUUGAGCCCUGAGGUGAUUUGGCGCCAUUUUCUGAGGUGAUUCUGGCGCCAUUUUGAGCCCUGAGGUGAUUCUGGCGCCAUUUUGAGUCCUGAGGUGAUUUGGCGCCAUUUUCUGAGGUGAUUCUGGCGCCAUUUUGACCCUGAGGUGAUUCUGGCGCCAUUUUGAGUCCUGAGGUGAUUUGGCCGCAUUUUCUGGGGUGAUUCUGGCGCCAUUUUGAGCCCUGAGGUGAUUUGGCGCCAUUUUCUGAGGUGAUUCUGGCGCCAUUUUGAGCCCUGAGGUGAUUUAGCGCCAUUUUGACCCUGAGGUGAUUCUGGCGCCAUUUUGACCCUGAGGUGAUUCUGGCGCCAUUUUGUCCCUGAGGCGAUUCUGGCGCCAUUUUGACCCUGAGGUGAUUCUGGCGCCAUUUUGAGCCCUGAGGUGAUUCUGGCGCCAUUUUGACCCUGAGGUGAUUCUGGCGCAUUUUGAGCCCUGAGGUGAUUCUAGCGCCAUUUUGAGCCCUGAGGUGAUUCUGGCGCCAUUUUCUGAGGUGAUUCUGGCGCCAUUUUGAGCCCUGAGGUGAUUCUGGCGCCAUUUUGAGUCCUGGGUGAUUUGGCGCCAUUUUCUGAGGUGAUUCUGGCGCCAUUUUGAGCCCUGAGGUGAUUUGGCGCCAUUUUCUGAGGUGAUUCUGGCGCCAUUUUCUGAGGUGAUUCUGGCGCCAUUUUGAGUCCUGAGGUGAUUCUGGCGCCAUUUUCUGAGGUGAUUCUGCUGCCAUUUUGAGCCCUGAGGUGAUUUGGCCGCAUUUUCUGAGGUGAUUCUGGCGCCAUUUUGAGCCCUGAGGUGAUUUGGCCGCAUUUUCUGAGGUGAUUCAGGCGCCAUUUGAGCCCUGAGGUGAUUCUGGCGCCAUUUUCUGAGGUGAUUCUGGUGCCAUUUUGAGCCCUGAGGUGAUUUGGCGCCAUUUUCUGAGGUGAUUCUGGCGCCAUUUUGAGCCUGAGGUGAUUCUGGCGCCAUUUUGACCCUGAGGUGAUUCUGGCGCCAUUUUGAGCCCUGAGGUGAUUCUGGUGCCAUUUUGACCCUGAGGUGAUUCUGGCGCCAUUUUGAGCCCUGAGGUGAUUCUGGCGCCAUUUUGAGCCCUGAGGGGAUUUGGCACCAUUUUCUGAGGUGAUUCUGGCGCCAUUUUGAGCCCUGAGGUGAUUUGGCGCCAUUUUCUGAGGUGAUUCUGGUGCCAUUUUGAGCCCUGAGGUGAUUUGGCGCCAUUUUGAGCCCUGAGGUGAUUCUGGCGCCAUUUUGAGCCCUGAGGUGAUUUGGCGCCAUUUUCUGAGGUGAUUCUGGUGCCAUUUUGACCCUGAGGUGAUUCUGGCGCCAUUUUGAGCCCUGAGGUGAUUCUGGCGCCAUUUUGAGCCUGAGGCGAUUCUGGCGCCAUUUUGAGCCCUGAGGCGAUUCUGGCGCCAUUUUGAGCCCUGAGGUGAUUUGGCGCCAUUUUCUAAGGUGAUUCUGGCGCCAUUUUGUCCCUGAGGUGAUUCCGGCACAUUUUGAGUCCUGAGGUGAUUUGGCGCCAUUUUCUGAGGUGAUUCUGGUGCCAUUUUGAGUCCUGAGGUGAUUUGGCGCCAUUUUCUGAGGUGAUUCUGGUGCCAUUUUGAGCCUGAGGUGAUUUGGCGCCAUUUUCUGAGGUGAUUCUGGCGCCAUUUUGAGCCCUGAGGGGAUUUGGCGCCAUUUUCUGAGGUGAUUCUGGCGCCAUUUUGAGCCCUGAGGGGAUUUGGCGCCAUUUUCUGAGGUGAUUCUGGUGCCAUUUUGAGUCCUGAGGGGAUUUGGCGCCAUUUUCUGAGGUGAUUCUGGCGCCAUUUUGACCUUGAGGGGAUUCUGGCGCCAUUUUGACCCUGAGGUGAUUCUGGCGCCAUUUUGAUCCCUGAGGUGAUUCUGGCGCCAUUUUGAGUCCUGAGGGGAUUUGGCGCCAUUUUCUGAGGUGAUUCUGGCGCCAUUUUGAGCCCUGAGGGGAUUUGGCGCCAUUUUCUGAGGUGAUUCUGGCGCCAUUUUGAGCCCUGAGGUGAUUCAGGCGCCAUUUUGAGUCCUGAGGUGAUUUGGCGCCAUUUUCUGAGGUGAUUCUGGUGCCAUUUUGAGCCCUGAGGUGAUUUGGCGCCAUUUUCUGAGGUGAUUUUGGGGCCAUUUUGAGCCCUGAGGGGAUUUGGCGCCAUUUUCUGAGGUGAUUCUGGCGCCAUUUUGAGCCCUGAGGUGAUUCUGGUGCCAUUUUGAGCCCUGAGGUGAUUUGGCGCCAUUUUGACCCUGAGGUGAUUCUGGCGCCAUUUUGAGCCCUGAGGGGAUUUGGCGCCAUUUUCUGAGGUGAUUCUGGCGCCAUUUUGAGCCCUGAGGUGAUUUGGCGCCAUUUUCUGAGGUGAUUCUGGCGCCAUUUUGAGCCCUGAGGUGAUUUUGGCGCCAUUUUGACCCUGAGGUGAUUCUGGUGCCAUUUUGAGCCCUGAGGUGAUUCUGGCGCCAUUUUGACCCUGAAGUGAUUCUGGCGCCAUUUUGACCCUGAGGUGAUUUGGCGCCAUUUUGAGUCCUGAGGUGAUUUGGCGCCAUUUUGAGCCCUGAGGUGAUUCUGGCGCCAUUUUGAGCCCUGGGGUGAUUUGGCGCCAUUUUGAGUCCUGAGGUGAUUUGGCGCCAUUUUGAGCCCUGAGGUGAUUCUGGCGCCAUUUUGAGCCCUGAGGUGAUUUGGCGCCAUUUUCUGAGGGGAUUCUGGUGCCAUUUUGAGCCCUGAGGUGAUUUGGCGCCAUUUUCUGAGGUGAUUCUGGCGCCAUUUUGAGCCCUGAGGUGAUUUUGGCGCCAUUUUCUGAGGUGAUUCUGGUGCCAUUUUGAGCCCUGAGGUGAUUUGGCGCCAUUUUCUGAGGUGAUUCUGGCGCCAUUUUGAGCCCUGAGGUGAUUCUGGCGCCAUUUUGAGCCCUGAGGUGAUUCUGGCGCCAUUUUGAGCCCUGAGGUGAUUCUGGCGCCAUUUUGAGCCCUGAGGUGAUUCUGGCGCCAUUUUGAGCCCUGAGGUGAUUCUGGCGCCAUUUUGAGCCCUGAGGUGAUUCUGGCGCCAUUUUGAGCCCUGAGGUGAUUCUGGCGCCAUUUUGUCCCUGAGGUGAUUCUGGCGCCAUUUUGAGCCCUGAGGCGAUUCUGGCGCCAUUUUGCGCCCCGAGUUGUUCCUGUAUCCCCUCACCUGUCCGUUCCCGCUCCGAAUGACGAUUCCCAUGGUCAAUCCACCCCAGACGUCGCUUUGGUGACUCCGCAGGGAAUUCUUGCGCCGUUUCCUGGCCCAGGAGCCCUGCGAGCUGUUCCUGGUGGUUCCGCGGGACGUGGAGGAGUCGGGCGCGUGGCUGAACCCCGAGUGACGCCUCCGGUGAUGCCGUUUUGGGCUGAAAACGCCGCGUUUUGGGGCUUUUCCUGCUGGGGGAUGAGGGGAAACUGUUAAAAAAGGAUUUUGAGGAGCCGCGGUGCUUCGUUUUCCCCCAUUUCACCCCGUUUUUGUGCUCGUUAGUGCCUGUUAAUGAUGCUGGUGCGCGGCACAGCCGUCGUGUGUCACUAUGGGACCCCAGAACCCCCAUGGGGACCCCAAGACCCACACAGGACCCCCAAAACACAUAUGGGGACCCCAAAACCCACACGGGACCCCAAAAUCCACACGGGGACCCCCAAAACACAUACAGGGACCCCAAAACCCCCAUGGGACCCCAAAACCCACACAGGACCCCCAAAACCCUGAUGGGGACCCCCAUGGGACCCCAAAACCCAUACGGAACCCCCACAGGACCCCCAAAACCCCAUGGGAUCCCAAAACCCCCAUAGGGACCCCCUAAAACCCAGACGGGACCCCCACAGGACCCCCCUGGGACCCCAAAACCCACAGGGGACCAUCACAGGACCCCCAAAACCUCCAUGGGGAUCCCCAAAACCCACAGAGGACCCCCAUGGGACCCCAAAACCCACACGGGACUCCAAAACCCCCAUGGGACCCACAUGGGACCCCCAAAACCCCAUGGGACCCCAAAACCCACAGGGGAGACCCACAGGACCCCCAAAAGCCUUAUGGGACCCCAGAACCCACACGGGGACCCCACAGGACCCCCAUGGGACCCCAGAACCCCCAUGGGAUCCCCACAGGAUCCCCAAAACCUCCAUGGGACCCCAAAACCCCCAUGGGAUCCCCACAGGUCCCCAAAACUCCCAUGGGACCCCAAAACCCCCAUGGGGACCCCCACACUACCCCCAUGGGACCCCAAAACUCACAGGGGACCCCCACAGGACCCUCAAAACCCCCAUGGGACCCCAAAACCCCCCCAGGACCCCCAUAUGGGACCCACACAGGACCCCCAAACCCCCAUGGGACCCCCAAACCCCCAUGGAGACCCCCACAGGACCCCCAUGGAGACCCCAAAACCCACAUGGGACCCCCAAAACCCACAUGGGACCCCCAAAACCCACACGGGACCCCCCAAACCCCUAUGGGGACCCCAAAACCCACACAGGACCCACACGGGACCCCCAAAACACCCAUGGGACCCCAAAACCCCCAUGGGAACCCCCCAGGACCCCUGAAACUCACAUGGGGACUCCACAGGACCCCCACAGGACACCCAAAACCCACACAGGACCCCCGUGGUUACCCCCAAAACCCUCAUGAGGACCCCACAUCACCAUGGGGCCCCCUACAUCCCCACGGGACCCCCAAUAUUCUGCAGAGCCCCCCAACAUCCAUUCAGGGCUCCCCAAUAUCCCUCCAGGGUCUCCCAAUAUCCCCCCUGGACCCCCCAAUAUCCCCCAGGGCCCCCCAACCCCUUCCCAGCCCCCCCAAACCCUCCCCAGCAGCACCUGGGCGGGGGGGGGGGGGGGGGGCCCCGGACGCCUGGGUCCCUCCCGGAUCCCUGUGGGGUCCCCCCAAAACUGAAGCGUGUCCCCCCCAUCACUUGGGGGGACCUCCAGGCACACGUGACUCCCAAAUGGGGUUAAUUACCCCCCCCAAAAGGUGAUUAAAACUGCCGGUUUCCA